rnacentral:misc_RNA from 1 species
AAGUCGUAACAAGGUAACCGUAGGUGAACCUGCGGUUGGAUCAUUACAAAAUGAUGGGUCUUGAAAGCGUGUAAGUCCAGUUUUUAGGUAGAUAUUACUUUGCCUUCUAAUACAACUGAAAACUUUCAAGACUUAAUUAACCCUUUGUGCACAAAAAUGUUUUUUGGGUUGGCUUCAUUAGAGGCGAGCCCAGCAUAUUAUGUCUGCGAGUCACGCAAGUGUUAGCAGGCAUAAAGUAAACACCUUUUUUAAUUUGACUGAAUUUUUUUGAAAUAUAAAAAAUAACAACUUUUGACAACGGAUCUCUUGGCUCUC